ACAGAAGACGAAGAGCUGGAAUAGAGCUCGCCUCGGCUCUGCUGGCCUUGGCUGCAGCUCUUCCAGAAACCCGGGGCGCCCACAGAAGAAUCUCUUACCUGGCUCUCUCUUCAGGGAUGACAUCAUCGGCUCACACCAGUCUUCCAGGACCACCUUCUGGAUGCCAAGGCUGCUGCUCGAGUACCUGCUGUGCACCUCUACCUCCUGAGCCAAGGAGCACGGAUUCCAGGAACCCACUACCAUACAGAGCAACUCCUUGUGGACCCCCCUGGGAUCAGGACAGCGAGGGACAAGCGACAAAGAGGAUCAUCAGUGGCCAGCUAGUUUCUCUGGGGUUCAAACCUUGAACCAGUGCCCUAGUGAGGGGGCACUGGCCAUGGCCCUUGACCUUUGCUCUGCUUGUGUCUUGAGUCUGAGCCCUUUCCUGUACAUCUGUGCUCGUGUUCAUCUGCUAGUGAACUGGAGUGCUGCCCUCCCCGAGGAGGGUCGUCCCUUGUGACUGAUCAUGCUGUCCUAACAAUGUCCUGAGCAAAAGGGUCCCUUUGGGAACCUCUCAGGAGGGGGACCCGGGUCAGGGGCGACCAGCAUCUUGCUGGCAACUCCGUGGGUGGGGUGGGGUGGGGUGCUUCCUUCUGGAAUGAGCACGUGGCUGACCCCCCAAGGCAUGUCCCCUCCCCCUCCUCCACCCACCUUCUCGGAGAUGUCCCUUUUGGGGUAGUGGGGACAUUAGGAGCAACCUCCUAGGGUUGUUGUGAGAAUUAAAUGAACUGCAGCAGCCUGAGGCAGGGCUGGGCAGAGACCUCAGCACAUGUUUGUUGAAAGGUUUGCAGGUGGAUCUAGUCCUCCCGUUCAUGGCUCAUGUGUCUCAACCAUUCUCUCGCAGACUCCUGCAGCCCCUAUGCCCAGGGCUCUCCUUGCGCCAGCCCCGGCUUCUCGAGGCCUGUCUACACUCGCUGCUUUCCUUCCUCACCUCCAAUUUCCCCUCCAACCCACUGCUUCCUGACUCGCUCUUCUCCAUCGAACGGCUCUCGCUCAGCUGGCAUUGCCCACCGGCCAUGCCGGCUGAAGAAAAGAAGACUGAGGACCCCAGGAUGCCCAGCGCGAGGACCCCAGGAAGCCCAGCGCGAGGACUCCACCCACGACGCCCAGCGCGAGGACUUCACGCACAACACGUUGCAACCCUCCUGGAUUAGGCCUCUACAGCCACGGGGACGCCUUGCACAUUUCCUGUGGGACAUGCUGGACCCAAGACUCUGGACCCUGGCCUCCCCUUGAGUAGAGAGACCCACCUACUGACUGAUGAACUGCGCUGACCCUGGGGUCAGGCAUGUGGCCUUGAUCCCUACCCAUGGACCCUGAGACUUGGGGGGGUGGGAGAAAGGCUGUUGUGUCUUCACUGUUGAGUCUACAUCUGUGAAAUGGGCUCAGGUUCCUACCUCACAGGGCUGUUGUGAGGCAGCCGCAAUGUGCUUAGAAGCAUGGGGCCUAGUGGCUCAUGGUGCUUUCAAUAAAUUUCUUGUUUUAACUAAAGCA
rnacentral:lncRNA from 1 species